CAGCUGAGCCUGAUGGACCUGCACAGCUCUCGGGCUGUCUUCCAGAGUCCUCCAGGUCACAGCGAGCAUGCGCCCGACAACUCCAAACCAUUCCGCCGAUCGGCCACGCGGGGGCGCCAGAGACCGCGGAAACGACGACUCCGAGCGGAUCGACGUUGACCCGCACCGCCUCGUCCCGUGAGGCGGCCCGAACCGCCGCGGAGCGGCCGCUGCCCUCGGGGGAGCCGUGCGGGGAAGCGGGGCGGCGCUGAGCUUCGGGAGCGAGGAGGAGGAGCGGGAAGGAUGGCAUCACUGCAGGAUGUGCCCCGUGCCCACCAGAGGGAGUAUGAGAAACACGUGGAGAGCAUUGACAGUUCAAAGAUAACUGCCCAGGAAUGAGAGAAGCCUUCAGAUGCUGCUAUGAAUUACAAAUUCUACAGGGGCAUGAGAAGAUACAUAGAGAACUUACAUAGAGAACAACUGUUGUGUUGCUGGUUGUAUUUGAUGGAAAUGCUGUGUUUUCUUAUGCUGCAGUAUGUCAGCAGGGGCAGCUGGUUUUGUGUCUUGUGUGCACUGAAGCCAGCUGACGCUGAUACAGAUGAACAGCCCAAGCAGAAAACGCUUCUGGCUUCUACUUCUCUGUAGAACUGAAGAAUCAGUAGGGGUAAUUUGGGACAUACAUACAAGGGGACACAAAUAACAGGAGACGGUAGGGAGCUGACUGUUGAAAUCUAAAUGCAAUAAUGUGUAAAGUUUGGAAGCUGGAACUUAACAUGCAGGCUCAGUUUGCCUUUUCCAUUGUUGGGAACAGAGUGUGGUAGGCACUGUCCGUUUCCAUCCAGGACUGGGAAG